CCAGAGCUGCAAAGGCCUACACAUCUUUGACAAGGAAGGAGAAUCCUUGAGAGAGAUGGCUCGUGUACCAGAUACCCUGCAUCGGGCAGUUCUCAAUUCCCAGACGAGUAUAUCCAUAGCCAGCAUCCAUUGGCCUUUUCAUGAAUGCGAAAGGUCACAGCUGCAAAAGAGCUGAUCGAUGGGCAGCACCACAAAAGAUACACGGAGGGCAGCUUUCACGACUUCCUCGACUUCAUAUCCCCAACGAGCAAGACCGCUGGAAGGAAUUUAUAAACAGCCUUAAGAUAACGGCACCUUGAGACCGUUACUAGUUAGGCAACAACAGUACUCGUGGACUGCAGUCUAUAUUUCCUUGGAGCAAUGCUUAUUCUAAGACUAGACCGUAAAAGCUAAAUAAAGUUUUAGACGUUCGCAAUCAUGACAAGACAUCGCAUCAAACAUGUCAUAAACAGAUAUCAAUUGCAGAAGAUUGAAUGCGACUGCCAUUCAAAAGAAAAAUUAAAAGCAGAUAUCAAUACUUCGAGUACCUUUAAAAGUGGUGGUAUUAAGAACCAUUAGACCUUCGUUAAUACUUCGAGUACGGCCAGAAAAGUAACACUGCCUUCUCAGCAACCAUCAGACCUUACAUCCAGGAGCCUGUUAAGAGGUAGGUGUCUAUAGAAGUAUUUUGACAAACAAGCGUGCUAAUUCAGUAAAAGAGAGUAAGUUGACGAGUAAAAUUAUCUUACAAAAAGCAAGUCUAUUUAUUUAGUUCUUUUUUUGACCUGAAAGAGAAAAAAAAAAUUAGAAUUCAGUAUCCCCUUAUGCUACCGGAUGAACCUGAGGCACAGACAUGGUCCAUGGUCAGAAAUAAUUGUAAUAAGACAUCUGAAACUGUGAUAUCAAACUCUAAUGUAUGAUAAAUAAACACUUAAAAAACGACGUACACUAAUG
rnacentral:lncRNA from 1 species